GAGUAGUAGAUGAUUUGGACAGGAAACUUAAAGAAUUUGGCGGUGUAUAUUCUAAUUAGAGGAAUAUGUUUUUUAAUUGAUAAUCCACAUGUAUUUUACUUAAAUUUAUUUAUUUUGUAUAUCUCCGUCUUAAAAAAACUUUUUAAAAUAUUUUUUAGAUUUUAUAAUUUAAAAUAAGUCAGGUCAAGGUGCAGAUUAUGUUUAAGGUAAAAUGUAUUACAAUAAAUUUAUUUUUGAAUUAAAAUUUUAAUAGUUUUAUAAAAUUGGAUUUAUAAGUAAAUUUUUUUAUAUAAUAAUUUAUUGAAUUGUGUUAAUAUACAUGCACACAUC
rnacentral:rRNA from 1 species